GACGUAGGGCGCGAGCGUUGUCCGGAUUUAUUGGGCGUAAAGAGCUCGUAGGCGGUCUGUCGCGUCGGCUGUGAAAACUCGGGGCUCAACUCCGAGCUUGCAGUCGAUACGGGCAGGCUAGAGUUCGGCAGGGGGAGACUGGAAUUCCUGGUGUAGCGGUGAAAUGCGCAGAUAUCAGGAGGAACACCGGUGGCGAAGGCGGGUCUCUGGGCCGAUACUGACGCUGAGGAGCGAAAGCGUGGGGAGCGAACAGG
rnacentral:rRNA from 1 species